GGGAUAGAGCGCCAUGGCUACGGGUUUCACGGAGUGGCGACUCGUGAGAUAACCUGAAGGAUCUCUUCUCUCGCUGGUGAUCCUCUCCAAUCUCUCUCAAUCAACUGCUACUACAAUAAGGCCUUCAUUUGACGUAAGUUCGGGCUGCCGGUCAAUGUUCGUGCUGGCUACGAGCAUGAAAGUUUUGUCUGGUCUUUCACUUCUUUCACCCAGUUGUUGAAAGAUUCGGAGAGAUUGUUAUUGAUGUAGUCUACCUUGCAAUAAUCAGAAAAUUUGCUUAUACUCCACAAGUAGGGAUGAUUCUCAUCUAAAAAGGCAACUGCUUUAAGGCACUCCUGUAUCCUGGCCAUAUGCUAAUUAAACUUCUCAAUAGUGUAACUCUUGGCAGAGGAGGAGUAUAUGAGUUUGAAGUACUUUGUUCCUCACUGCAGGGUGACACCUAUGUUUUGUGGGUGAAAACUGUAAUGGCCCUUCAAAGUCAUUGAUUUGGGCAUCAAUGCGAACAACUCUACACUCUUGGUUGAGCUCAAACCACCGGAAUAGUUGUUCAUCACUUUUAA